rnacentral:misc_RNA from 1 species
AAGUCGUAACAAGGUAUCCGUAGGUGAACCUGCGGAUGGAUCAUUAAGAGGUUAUGCAACAGCAAUGUCGCAGAAACCACUGUGGUUAAUGUGUCUGUUUAUUGGCGGCGAGGUUGCGCGGGCGCGAAAGCGCGUGCGCAUGCGCCGCCAGCAUCAAACCCUAUCUAAACUACUAGUUGUCUGAUUACUCUAUCUUAGUAUAAUCUUAUACAACUGCUAGCAACGGAUCACUCGGCUCUC